AUUGAACGCUGGCGGCAUGCCUUACACAUGCAAGUCGAACGGUAACGCGGGGCAACCUGGCGACGAGUGGCGAACGGGUGAGUAAUACAUCGGAACGUGCCCAGUAGUGGGGGAUAGCCCGGCGAAAGCCGGAUUAAUACCGCAUACGACCUGCGGGUGAAAGCGGGGGAUCGCAAGACCUCGCGCUAUUGGAGCGGCCGAUGUCAGAUUAGCUAGUUGGUGGGGUAAAGGCUCACCAAGCCAACGAUCUGUAGCUGGUCUGAGAGGACGACCAGCCACACUGGGACUGAGACACGGCCCAGACUCCUACGGGAGGCAGCAGUGGGGAAUUUUGGACAAUGGGCGCAAGCCUGAUCCAGCAAUGCCGCGUGCAGGAAGAAGGCCUUCGGGUUGUAAACUGCUUUUGUACGGAACGAAACGGUCCUGGUUAAUACCUGGGGCUAAUGACGGUACCGUAAGAAUAAGCACCGGCUAACUACGUGCCAGCCGCCGCGGUAACAC
rnacentral:rRNA from 1 species